UGAUGUCAGGGUUCAAAGGUACAAAUCCGAUUGUGCCUGCACAAAGAGGAUUUGGAACCUGGGACCCGCUAAACACGAGCAAGUAGCGUUAUUGCGCGGAUUGCGAGUGUUUUAGAAGCGCGAAAGCUGCUGCAUGGCAGCGAAGCGAUUCGUGACAUCA
rnacentral:sRNA from 1 species